UGGGGAAUAUUGCACAAUGGGGGGAAACCCUGAUGCAGCGACGCCGCGUGAGUGAAGAAGUAUUUCGGUAUGUAAAGCUCUAUCAGCAGGGAAGAUAAUGACGGUACCUGACUAAGAAGCCCCGGCUAACUACGUGCCAGCAGCCGCGGUAAUACGUAGGGGGCAAGCGUUAUCCGGAUUUACUGGGUGUAAAGGGAGCGUAGACGGCAUGGCAAGUCUGAAGUGAAAGCCCGGGGCUCAACUCCGGGACUGCUUUGGAAACUGUUAAGCUGGAGUGCAGGAGAGGUAAGUGGAAUUCCUAGUGUAGCGGUGAAAUGCGUAGAUAUUAGGAGGAACACCAGUGGCGAAGGCGGCUUACUGGACUGUAACUGACGUUGAGGCUCGAAAGCGUGGGGAGCAAACAGGAUUAGAUACCCUGGUA
rnacentral:rRNA from 1 species